AUUAGAACGCUGGCGGCAUGCCUUACACAUGCAAGUCGAACGGCAGCACGGGAGCAAUCCUGGUGGCGAGUGGGCGAACGGGUGAGUAAUAUAUCGGAACGUGCCCAGUCGUGGGGGAUAACGUAGCGAAAGCUACGCUAAUACCGCAUACGAUCUACGGAUGAAAGCGGGGGAUCGCAAGACCUCGCGCGAUUGGAGCGGCCGAUAUCAGAUUAGCUAGUUGGUGGGGUAAAAGCUCACCAAGGCGACGAUCUGUAGCUGGUCUGAGAGGACGACCAGCCACACUGGAACUGAGACACGGUCCAGACUCCUACGGGAGGCAGCAGUGGGGAAUUUUGGACAAUGGGCGCAAGCCUGAUCCAGCAAUGCCGCGUGCAGGAUGAAGGCCUUCGGGUUGUAAACUGCUUUUGUACGGAACGAAAAGGCUCUGGUUAAUACCUGGGGCUCAUGACGGUACCGUAAGAAUAAGCACCGGCUAACUACGUG
rnacentral:rRNA from 1 species